rnacentral:misc_RNA from 1 species
GAUGAAGAACGCAGCGAAAUGCGAUAAGUAAUGUGAAUUGUAGAAUUCCGUGAAUCAUCGAAUCUUUGAACGCACAUUGCGCCCUCUGGUAUUCCGGGGGGCAUGCCUGUCCGAGCGUCAUUUGCAACCCUCAAGCCCGGCUUGUGUGAUGGGUGCCGUCCCCUACGGGACGCGCCCCGAAGGCAAUGGCGGCGUCGCGGUUAUCCGAUCAGCCAAAGUGUAUGGGGCUUUGUCACUCACUUUACGGCCCGGACCGGCGCCAGUCCGAAUCAAUCUUUUUUCUAAAGUUGACCUCGGAUCAGGUAGGGAUACCCGCUGAACUUAAGCAUAUCAAUAAGCGGAGGA